UGGGCCUGUAACCCUCAAAUUGAUGUUUGGUGCCGGUCAGUGAUCUGAACUGUGGUGUUUUUUUCCCACUCAGGUAUCCACUUACUGACUGAUAUUGCUGCUGCUUUUUCCUGUGUCCUCUUAUUGGUUCUUAUUAAAAACGUCGCAAAUCAUGCUGCAGUAAUUUGUUUAUUGGUUCUUAUUAAAAACUUCGGAAAUCAUGCUGCAGUAAUGUGUAUAUCCUACAGAAGUGAAAUGAGAGCUGAUGUGCAUGUUCAGAACAGGGUUAGUUUAUAGCAGAAUGCUAAGCUUAUAUUUGCUCGAAUGAGCUUCCUGACAAAAUCCUAUUCAGGCUAUUCUUAAAAAAUGCCAAGUCCCCUGUUAGAAUUUCAAAGUAUUUUAGUCUGGCAGAUUUCCUUGAGUUGCAUGCACCAACCAGUUUAACCCAAAAGCUUAAGUUAAUGAGGAGAGAGGCUCCCUCAUGCUACAUACGUAGAGAUUGGA
rnacentral:lncRNA from 1 species